rnacentral:rRNA from 1 species
UUUUGGACAAUGGACGAAAGUCUGAUCCAGCAAUGCCGCGUGCAGGACGAAGGCCUUCGGGUUGUAAACUGCUUUUGUACGGAACGAAAAAGUCUUUUUUAAUAAAGAGGGCUUAUGACGGUACCGUAAGAAUAAGCACCGGCUAACUACGUGCCAGCAGCCGCGGUAAUACGUAGGGUGCGAGCGUUAAUCGGAAUUACUGGGCGUAAAGCGUCCGCAGGCGGUUCUAUAAGACAGAUGUGAAAUCCCUGGGCUCAACCUAGGAACUGCAUUUGUGACUGUAGAGCUAGAGUACGGCAGAGGGGGAUGGAAUUCCGCGUGUAGCAGUGAAAUGCGUAGAUAUGCGGAGGAACACCGAUGGCGAAGGCAAUCCCCUGGGCCUGUACUGACGCUCAGGACGAAA